rnacentral:lncRNA from 1 species
AAAGUUCCAAAUCAAAUGGCAUAAUCAAAAGCUCAAACACAUCAAACGAAUGGAUAACAACUGUCAUAUUCCUAACUUGGUACAGGCAUUUUAUAGCUAGCUAAACCUUUGACUUGUAUGAAAGUCGCAUAACCUUUUAUUAUAUUGACACGAAGUGAAAACAAAACAAAGAGACGUAAUACGUAAUAAUGUCAAAAAUAGGGCCACAACAUUCAUCAUAGUGUUAUAAUCAUAAUCAUUUUAACCUGACCAAACUUAUUAAAAAACAUCAGCAUCGUAAAAUCAGAAAUGGGAAGAAAAGGGUUUAUUCGAUUUAGGUUUUGGUCACACACGUAUAUUAAGAUUUGAUGGAAGUAAGACUAUAAUAGUAUUCGGAAAUAUUCGAAUUAUGACAAUAAACUUAUAAAUG